AAAAGAGGGAGGGAGGGAGAGAGGCGAAGCCCUGCCGCAUUUUCGAGCCGACGACUGCAGGGCUCAACACCAUGGCAUCCUCAGGAUCCACCUAUAUUCUAUGGAGUAAGGUGACGGAAACAGUCCCCCCAAGAGUCCAGGUGCCUGUGUUUUUGCGGAUCCUUGUGCAAACUAAUGAAAUCAAGGAUUUUGGGGGACGACUUUAGCAAGAGAUUCUUCAUGCGCGAGAAUUACGAGUACGACCCGCCCAAGCAUUACGGCAAGGACCGAGCAAAGUGGUUAGACACCGAGCAAUCUCAGCAGGAUAAGGACCACGUGGAGCGUCAAGCAAGGUGGGCUGCACAAAGGUGGCAAUGAAUGCUGCAUGAAGAACAGAUGGAGGAGAAGCACAAGAAAAACCAGGAAGAGAUUCUGAAAAGGAUUACAGAAGUGGAACGUCAGAAGGCAGAGAAACGUGAAGCUGAUAGGGAGAGGAAGCGAGAGAGGGCCCGCCGUGCUAAGGAAGCACUGUCUGAAGCUAUUAGGAAGGGAAAAUA